ACGCGUUUCUAUCGGUCGGCUGCAUCGAAUCCAGUGGCUGGUGGGCGAAUCCGGCGGCGGCGGCGGCGGCGGGAGCGGGCCUAGCCGCGUGCGUGGCUACAUUGGCGCCCAGCGUAGGGGCUCAGGUUGCUCGCAGCUAUGGCCAUGCCUGGCCGCGGGGCUCCGGACAUCGCGCUCGGCGUGGUGGCCACACUCGGCUACGGGGCUCGGGACAUCGUGCUCGGCGGUGGCCACACCCGGCCGUGGGGCUACGGUUGCGUGCGGCGAAGGCGGUGGUCGGGGUGUGGGGCAGCAGCGACGGCCUCAUCCUCCUGUAGUUUGUAUGCUUCUUCUUCCCUUCUCUGCAGCUAGGAUACUUCAAGUGUUCUUCUGCAGGUUUGACAAGAUGUUUAUUCCUGAAGUUCACUUGCUGCUACCAUGUCGGUGCCUAUUCAGGGUUACAUUUGCUGAGUUAAGUCAUCUAUGAUCUUCGAAUGUCUUAGCUAGAAACAAUAUUGUUCUUGAUUUAUGUAUGUGGUUAAGCAAACUUUCUUGCUUGUUUCAAUACAGUAGAAGAAGCCUCAAUUUGUAACCGUUCAGAUCUGUAGCUCAUUGCCUCCUCUUGAAGGUCAUUAGAAAUGGCGAGCCUACUGAGCCUACUGGUGACCUUCAUGAAGAAAGUUACCAGAUUUCUCUGUUGAGCGAGAACUUGGUCGAUCUAUUUUUGGAACAGUUUAUAAAGAAAUUAACAGUGUUUGUGGAUGGGAGACUUUGAAAUGUGAUAUGGACUCCAUGAGUGUUGUCAUGUUUUUAUAUGUGCUUUUAUAUUGCUGCCAUAAUGCUAUUAAUAUUGUGGUGCUAUUAAAAAUUUAAAAUGUUCCCAAAAUUUUGAAUAUUUUGUCAAUAGUUUGAUUUUAAAUAGUUACAAAUUCUGCCAAAUAUAUGUGACCCAAUCUAUAGUCAAAAUACAAUGCAAGUGUCUCAAUCCAAAUCAGGGUUAAAAUCACAAACAACCAUAAAAACCAGGGGCAAAAUCAUAUGGGCAUAUUUGUCUUUUAUACAACAGUUAACACCGUUACAAGAGGAUGACAGAAUAGGGGCAAACUGUUGCUUCAUUUUGAAAAAAACAGGGAUAGAUUCACAAAGUAGAAAAAACAGGGGCAAACCCACAAUUCCCAUACAAACGAAGGGUAUACAUGCAAGAGCCCUAAAAAACAAAGCAUAUUGAUCUCAAAUGGUUGUUUCCUAAUUGGUAGAUGAAGUUACUCAAAUGUGGUUGAUGUAGGCCUAUGAUGUGAGGUUUGUGUUUGAAGCAAGGACUAUUGGGAGAUGGAGUUCCUUGUGCUGACUGCUGAUCACCUUGAACUCAGAAUGCAGUCUAUCGCCUUUUUUUAUUUCAUCAGCUACUUCCUUGGCAGGUUCAGUGAUAGGAUCAGUGUGAUGCUAUAAUUCCCGAGAGUCGUAUGUGCACUUGUGUUCUUGACCAUUGCUUCCAAUUUCUAGAUGCUUUAGGUACUUGCUAAGAUGAUGAUAGAGGCGUUGACUGUAGUCACUGGUAACAUUAGUGCUAUAAUAUUUAUUUGUAUCAAUAUCAAAUCUUCUUUGAGUUAUUAAUGAAGCAUUAUUUAUUUUUGAGUUUGUAGUGUGUUCAAAUUAUGCAUUUUCUAUAUUAAUCGUAAGAUUUUGUCUUAAUUGUGAAUUUGUGAUGCAUCCCUGUUCUCCUAUUGCUAAGCAAUAACAUUAUGAUGUUUUGUACAGGAUAUGAUGCCUGGUAGGACACCGUGCAGCCUGCCAAAUUUUGUAGUACAAAGAAAUUGAAAGGAGGCCUAAUAAGCUGCUGAGUUUGACUGAGACCUCAACUCAUGGUCCUCUGCUUGUGUCCAUCUGUAGCAAGCCAUCAACUAACAGAAAACAGAUUGCGGCAACAAGGAGCUAGAGGACCAAGAGCACAGCCAUCAAGAGGAUGUUAGCAGCCAACUUUUGUGCCCUACCAGGUUGGUUGUCAUAAAAAUUCUCUUUUUACAAGUAAAUAGUAUGCUAAAAUUAAAUAGGAACUAUGCACCUUCAGAUGCUAACACUAAGCAUUGUUGUUGAUCUUGUGCUCUAAAAGAUUCUAGAAUGCUUGUGCUACUAAUAUCUGAUGAUUCUUAUUAGUCAAGAAGUAUGCUCUUAAGUUGCUACUUAUUUAACUACUGGCUGGUUUUGCUUUCACUACUAUGCAAUAUGCUAUCAAAUUGUUGAGCACAUGUUCACAAAUGAAUGGUCAAAGGGGAUCUUUAAUUGGUGAGGUCGCUCCGGUACAUUCUACACCAUCUACUGUUACAAAAAAUGCCCUCUCAGUAGCACCAUGGAUGGGUCUUCUGUUGGGUUCAUGUCUCUUGCACAUUUUGAUUGGAAACACACAUAGGGAGACGACAGGUGGAACCGUCAUAUACCAGUUGUAAAAAGGCUUUUACUGUGUUUGUGUAGUCUGACCAAGAAACAAAUCGCAAUGGAGACAGUAAGUGCAGGAGAAGUAGAAUGUCGUCGAUGACUUGUGAUCACGAAGGAGAUUGGCGUCGGUGGCUCAAGUAUGCUCAAUUCCUAUGAUUCAUGGUUCAGAUGCAUCAUAAACAAAAAACAGAAUAGGACAAGGAUCUCUGAUCUCACCAAUAGGUUAUACAGAAGCAUGAAGUUGAUGACCUUUGAUCUCACCAAGAUGAUCUCACCGAAAGGUCAUACAGAUGCAUGCAGUUUGGUGAUCAUAUCCCUGAUCUCACCAAGAGCACUGAGCACGGUUGGCGAUCUCUGAUCUCACCAAUAGGUCAUACACGAGCACUAUGCCAGUGAUGGUGAACUUCAAGCGGAACGGCGGCCUCCUCCACAAGAUGAGCACAAGGUUGAGGGUGGACUGUUGGAGGAAGAUUGGGAUUGGCCGACUGGGGAAUACUGGGAAGGAGAUCGUGUAUGCAUGGCGGUAUGCAUGGCAAGAGUCACGCUGAGUGGAGAAUUGAUUCUUAUUUCUUUAUUUGCAUGUGAUCGUGAACGACUGUGAUUGCCGUGAAGGAAAGUUUCACGGUCGAACCUGCAUGGAAAGUUUUGCAGGAUGGCGUUGAGAUCGCAAGGGGAGGCUGCCGGGUGACACCAAAUCAAAUGUCGCACCAAACAAUUGUCUUUCUUUUGUUCUUUUUAGUUGUAGGAGAUUCCAUCGGCUGGACAAAAUAACGGCUCUGUUUUUUACUGUAGCCCUGCAGCAGCUGCUGCUGCGAAGGCCUGCCGAGCAGGCUUGAUGUUGCUUGGAAAUUACAUAUUUACUCUAAUCAAAUCAUAUAUAUUUAAGCA